rnacentral:lncRNA from 1 species
CUUUAAAGUACUCAUAAAGAGGUUUAAAUUGUAAAUCUGUCAACAGGUGAUCUCAGAGAAAGUGAAAGCAUGUCUACCUGAAGAACAGCUGAGCAUACUCCAGCUAAAGGAUGCCUGGGGGAUGCUGACCUCUGCACACUGGAUGGGCUGUGAGAUCAGGAGCCAGUGGUGGGGAGGAAGCCGGCUCUCCACAGUGAACAGAAACUGGAGACAAAACCCCUCGGUUACAGGACAAAAGAAACAGACCAAGGCAAUGCCAGAGGAAGUAAUAUUAACUGAAACCCAGUGACUCCUCCAAACAGCUACAUCACAGCGGGGACUGGCCCUAAAUCUGAGAUGGUGGAGCUCAGCUAUGCAGU